AUGUAGAAAAUGAUGAAUAGUUGACCGGUAGUUGUACAGAUCCAAUUGAAUAAAGAGCAUGUGUAGCUGAGAAAAACAGAAGAGACUUCUCCGGUUAACCACUUGAAUCAAUCAGAGAAGCAGAAAUCGGAAAGAAAGCUGGUUUAGCUUUUUUCUUUUGGCCAACCACUUGAAUCAAUCAGAGAAGCAGAAAUCGGAAAGAAAGCUGGUUUAGCUUUUUUCUUUUGGCCGAAAUUAGAAAUAUGGCUGAGGCCGUAGUUUCAAUGGUAAUUGAAGGGCUCACAGGCACUCUCGUUGAGGAAGUGAAGUUUUUUAGUGGAGUCCGCGAUCAAAUUGAGCAUGCACAAACUGAGCUACUUUUGAUGCAGGGCUUCCUGAAAGAUGCAGAUGCAAAACAAGGAGACAGUGAAGUAGUACGCAUUUGGGUUCGAACUACAAGGGAUGCUGGUUAUGAUUUGGAGGAUGUCAUUGAAUCUUUUGCCUUGAAAGUGACUCUCAAAAGGGGAGGAAGUGUGAAGCUUGUUCUGAAAAGGUUUGCUUGCAUCCUUAACGAAGUCAUUAAUCGUCACAAGAUCGGUUCAGAAAUUAAGAGCAUUACGGCCAAACUUUCCGAUUUGAGGUCGAAAUUGCAAGGUUAUAACAUCAAACAAAUAACGGGUACACAAUAUGAAGGUGCCUCUUCUUUUGAGAAGCAAAAGGAACAAAGACAAACUUAUCCUCAUGUUAUUGAACGUGAUGUUGUCGGGUUAGAGAAGGACGUGGAGAUACUAGCCACGCAGUUGGUGAAAGAAGAAAACUAUCCUCAAGUUGUAUCUAUUUGGGGGAUAGGCGGUUCAGGAAAGACCACUCUUGCAAAACAAGUUUAUAAUCACAAUGAAGUUGUUAAGCGUCACUUCGAUUAUUUUGCUUGGGUGUGUGUGUCACAACAAUGUCAAGGAAAAGAGGUUUUGGAAGAUAUUUUGAUCAAGCUUACUCGCGGUACAAAAAAAGAGGAAAUAGAAGAAAUUUCGAAAAUGAAGAAGGAUCAAAUAGCAGAGAAGCUUUGUAUCCUCCAAAAAGAAAAGAAAUGUUUGGUGGUUCUUGAUGACAUUUGGACUCAUGAUGGGUGGAACUCUUUAAAACCUGGAUUUCCAAUAGGUGAGGAAACAAAGAGUCGUAUAUUACUCACCACUCGGAAGAAGGACGUUGCUGAAAUUGCUGGAGGCAAUGGUUUCAUUCAUGAAUCUCGUGCGCUAGAUGAUAAGGAAAGUUGGGAACUGUUUAAAAAGAUAGCAAUCUCUGGGAGAGAUCAAACAAACUCUAAAAUUGAUGCUGAGAAGGAAGAACUAGGAAAGGAGAUGCUUAAACAUUGUGCAGGUCUACCAUUAGCUAUUACUGUGCUUGCGGGACUUCUAGCUAGAAAAGUCACAGUUGAGGAGUGGAAAAAAGUAUACGAGAAUGUUGAUGUCUAUAUACGGAGAGGAACUAAUCUUGACCAAGAAUACAAAGGCGAUCAAGAAUAUGCAGGUGCAUUAAAGGUGUUGGCAUUGAGUUAUGACGACUUACCAUAUCGUUUAAAACUAUGCUUUCUAUAUUUAGGCCACUUUCCAGAGGAUUAUGAGAUACCGGUCCAAAGAUUGACUCGUUUAUGGAUAGCAGAAGGUUUUAUAUCUUCAGCAUCCCAAAGACAUGGUUCAGCGGAAGUAUUGGAAGAUGUAGCAUAUGCUUGCUUAAGUGAGUUGGUGGAAAGAUGUAUGGUUCAAGUUGGAACACUUGGUGCAACUAAGAGGAUCAAAACAUGUCAUCUUCAUGAUCUUAUGCGAGACUUGUGCUUGGUAAAGGCAGAAGAGGAGAACUUUCUUCACGUUGUAAAUUUUACCAGCACGAUAACGAAGACAGCGACAAUUCCUAAAGGUCGAAGACUUGCUGUACAUGUGGAAACAGAAUUUGUUGAAAGCUUUGCUCCCACAAGAAAUGACCACCUUAGGUCUUUGUUAUUCUUUGUCGACACAGAAUCUGGAUUCUGCAACUGGAAGAAAAAAAUCUUGCGGUCAGUAGUAUGCAACUUCAAAUUGCUCAGGGUUCUAAAGUAUGAAGGCAUAAGGAGAGAAGUAGAAUUGCCGAGUAAUAUUGGGAAUCUAGUCCACUUAAGGUUUUUAAGUCUAAGGGGAAGUAGAGUAGAAGGGUUGCCAUCAUCUUUAGGUAAUUUGGUAUGUUUGCAAACUCUAGACUUACGCUUGUCUACAUGGGGAGUAAAAGUACCAAAUGUGAUUUGGAAGAUGAAAGAAUUGAGACAUUUAUAUUUAUCCGAUUGGUACGGAGGGAGGUUGAAGUUGGCUGCUCUUGGGAAUUUGCAGAGUUUAGUCAAUGUUGCAGGUGCUGAUUGUGAUUUGACUCGUCUUGCUGAAUUGACCAAUCUCAGAAAACUGUUCAUAAAAGGUGGGGUGAAAAAUAUGGAGGAAAUGUUGAAAACUACUGGCAUCACAUUUAACCAUCUUCGAUCUCUAUCUGUGCACUCUUAUAGAGAAGGUAUACAAAUGAAUAUGGUAUUGAGUUGUCCUCAUAUAUACAAGCUUGAGUUGGUAGGGAGAAUGAGAGAUCAAUCAUUGGAAGGUCUCCAGUGUUAUCAGAACCUCACUAAGAUGUCGCUGUGGCGGACUAAACUACAGUUGGAGAGUCUCAAAAUACUUGAGAAGAUCCCAAACUUAAGAAUGCUUCGGUUGCGUGAUGAUAGUAUCGAUGAGAAUGUUUCAGAAGUAGUUGUCUCAGAAGAAGGUUAUCCUAAUCUUGAAUUUCUUUCACUUUCUGAUUUGGGGCUAUUAAAGAGUUGGAGCAUAGAGAAAGGAGGUAUGCGUAGUCUCCGCAGAUUGUCUAUUUCCGUGUGCAGCAAAUUGAGAGCAGUUCCUGAGGGGCUUGAGCAUGUUAGUACCCUCAAGGAACUAACAAUCAGAGGCAUGGAUCGGGAAUUCGGUAGAAGGGUUGGGGAAGGAGGAGAGGAUUUCUACAAAAUUCAACACGUGCCUUCUGUUAUAAUAACAAGUAUUCUGUUAUAAUAACAGGUAUUCGGGAGGAUAGAGAAGUGGAUAACUAACUGGUAAGUAUGCUGCUACUUACAUUUUGUUUGCUAUUUAUCUCUGUUUCCCACGGAAGAAAGUAGAAAGUGGAUGACCGAUCAUGGCAAGACGAGGAGCGAGAAAACAGAAGCAGAUGCUGUAAGCAUGGGCAUCGUCUCAGAAAUCGGGAGUGAACAAGUAUUUAUUGUUUCAAAAAUAAAAACACACGAAUUUGAUUAGCAGCUACUCAAUAAAUAGUUUAUAUGCAUGCCUUGGUGAUUAGCAGCUACUCAAAAACGUUUAUAUUUUGUUACGACAAAUAAUUACAUUACACAACUUGCUUACGAUGCUCCAUUUAAUUCAUGCAUUAACAUUUGUAUCUACCAUUCAUGGAGAAAUUCAACUUUUUUCCUCCUUUUGUAUAUUUUGAUGAUGAGAAGAAAGUGUUUAGGUGUUGUA